UACGUAGGGGGCAGCGUUGUCCGGAAUCAUUGGGCGUAAAGCGCGUGUAGGCGGUCCGGUAAGUCCGCUGUGAAAGUCGGGGGGCUCAACCCUCGGAUGCCGGUGGAUACUGGUCGGGCUUGAGUACGGAAGAGGCGAGUGGAAUUCCUGGUGUAGCGGGUGAAAUGCGCAGAUAGUCAGGAGGAACACCAAUUGCGAAGGCAGCUCGCUGGGACGUUACUGGACGCUGGAGGAGCGAAAGCAUGGGGAGCGAACAGG
rnacentral:rRNA from 1 species